AAUUUUCAAAAAAAAUUGAAUGUAGGUAAAAAAAAUUUUAAUUCAAUGUAUUUAAUAUGUUGUAAUAUUUUUUAAUGAAAUAGUUGCAGAUUAUGAAUAUGAAAUGAUAAAAUAACUGUGAAUUACAGAUGUUAAUGGGUAUGAAUACCCAUAAUUUUAUUUUAUUUGAAUCCGAACCCAAAUCCGAAAACAAUACUACUCAUUCUAAAUAGUUGAAUAAAAAUAAAUGAGCG
rnacentral:lncRNA from 1 species